ensembl:piRNA 21ur-13891 ncRNA
UUUUAUCCUAAACCCGUUUUU